CUGACUAACAAGACAUUAUGGGCCUCUGAAUCUCUCGUUUUGACCACGACUGUGUGCUGCACUGGAUGGAUCUCAGAUGUGCCUGGGAAGUACAAUUCCGUGAAUUACACUGAAAGAUCGUGCAGCCAUUGCCCGUCCCAGUUCAAUAAAUUCUUCUGCCAAUUGCCUGGAGGGAGGUUUCCUUUUCUGGCCAACUGCUGUUCCUGCGAAGCCAGGGCAGAUACUGAAGAGCUGGAAGAAAACAAGUGUUUCCAAAGAAAUGUCUGACGCUUAGCACAGGAACAAGUUAACUCUAUUGACAUGAAUUCAAGUUUCAAGCCAAACUAAAAUGGUUUUGUUUGCAAUCUCUCUUGCUCAGCCCAGUUUUAUGGCUUUGGUAGAAUUUUCCUUCAUUAAUGUGUGUUAAGUGUAGGUUUAUUCUGCCCCUUGAGAGGGGAAGGGGGGGGCUGAGAAACCCACAACAAACCGAAACAGAAACGACAGGCUACUUCUGAGAAGCUGGAGUCAGUGAAAGCUGCUUUUUGAAGAGUUUUCCCCUUUCCCUUUCGCUUCUAGCAGUGAUUACUGUAAGUUGUUAUACUAAGAGAUUAAAAACCAUCAGAUGCAAAAGUGACCUUUCGAGCAAAGUACUUCCUUUACUCAUAUUGCAAAGUAACAAUAAUAUCCUGGACUGGGCGCAAAUGAAUCAGUCUCUGUUGACAUCAUUAACGUUUGUUUAUUUAGUUGGGAAAAAGCGUGAAACACAAUAAGGUCUUUAUUAUUAAAUGAUGUCAUUUUACUCAGUUUCGGCAGUGAAUGACAUGCCAAUGCCCGGCAUGUCACAGGGCUGACAGGCUCGUAAAUCAGCAUUAUUCAGUGAAGUGAGGAAAGAGUUCUGGCUCAGUGACCUGCUUGAGUAACAGCUUGCGUGGCCCCUAAUUACCCCGUGUGGCAAGAAUUUGGGGACUUUCAGAGGCAGAGACCUUUGCACAGGGGAAAGGAGAAAGUGGUGUAACCAGGGCGUUGGGUUGAGCAUGUGUAGCGCGUCAGAGCUGGGCUCGGGUCUUGGUUUAACGGGCCUGGAUUUUUGCUACGGAGCUGGGUGAGGAAGCAAAGACAAACCCACAAGUAUCAUUUUAAAAAGAUUUUAUUAUUUUGUAGAAAAAAUAAAACAUCAAGUUUCACCCA
rnacentral:lncRNA from 1 species